GGGGACUUAGCUCAGUGGUAGAGCGCUUGCCUAGCAAGUACAAGGCCCUGGGUUCAGUCCCCA
rnacentral:tRNA from 1 species